rnacentral:sRNA from 1 species
GUCAAGCAUGGUGGUGCACACUUGUAAUCCCAGUUGUUUGGAGGCUGAGACAGGAGGAUUGCAAGUUUGAGGCCAGGCUCAUCAACUUAGUGAGACCCUAUCUCAA